rnacentral:rRNA from 1 species
UACGAAGGGGGCUAGCGUUGCUCGGAAUCACUGGGCGUAAAGCGCACGUAGGCGGCUUUCUAAGUCAGGGGUGAAAUCCUGGAGCUCAACUCCAGAACUGCCUUUGAUACUGGGAAGCUCGAGUCCGGAAGAGGUGAGUGGAACUGCGAGUGUAGAGGUGAAAUUCGUAGAUAUUCGCAAGAACACCAGUGGCGAAGGCGGCUCGCUGGGACGGUACUGACGCUAAGGCGCGAAAGCGUGGGGAGCGAACAGG